CCUGGGAAACUGGGUCUAAUACCGAAUACACCCUGCUGGUCGCAUGGCCUGGUGGGGGAAAGCUUUUGCGGUGUGGGAUGGGCCCGCGGCCUAUCAGCUUGUUGGUGGGGUGAUGGCCUACCAAGGCGACGACGGGUAGCCGGCCUGAGAGGGUGUCCGGCCACACUGGGACUGAGAUACGGCCCAGACUCCUACGGGAGGCAGCAGUGGGGAAUAUUGCACAAUGGGCGCAAGCCUGAUGCAGCGACGCCGCGUGGGGGAUGACGGCCUUCGGGUUGUAAACCCCUUUCAGUAUCGACGAAGCCGUGAGGUGACGGUAGGUACAGAAGAAGCACCGGCCAACUACGUGCCAGCAGCCGCGGUAAUACGUA
rnacentral:rRNA from 1 species